rnacentral:rRNA from 1 species
CUGAGUAGCACGUGGGAACAUGCCCGGCAGUGGGGAUAACAGCGCGAAAGCGCUGCUAAGCCCGCAUACGCUCGCUUGCGAGGAAAGCGGUAACGCGCUGCCGGAGUGGCCCGCGGCCCAUCAGGUCGUUGGGGGGUAACGGCCUCCCAAGCCGAUGACGGGUAGCUGGUCUGUGAGGACAACCAGCCAGACUGGGACUGAGACACGGCCCAG